rnacentral:rRNA from 1 species
GCGCCCGAUCUCAUCAGAUCUUGGAAGCUAAG